ACUAAAAUAUUUAUUAAGUGUUUUUUUUUUUGUUUAUUUAACUUUUACUUAACUUGAUUUGAAGAUUCCAUUUUCGGUGUUUACCGACAGAUUCUCAAAGUAGUUGGCGCGUGUAUAUGUAUAAAAUGUAAAUAACACGUGUAUUAAAAAAAUAUUAUUAUUACAAAACAACAGCUAUGAAAUUCUUUAACAAAAAUAUUGUUUUAUUAUUUAUUGCUAUUACUUUGUUGGAGAUUUAUAUUUGUACUAAUGACUUUACAUAAAAAAUUUAAAUCUUAGGUGACAUAUUUACUAAAUUUAGCUAUAUUAAAAAAAAAAAACAUAAAUCUUAUUAUUAGUUUUAAAUAAUCAUCGUACAAUAUUUGUAAGUAAUUUAAUAUAUCUAAGUAAUAAAUUAUGUAAAAUUGGUCUUUCCGGUUCCUUUUAUUGUAAAAAAAAAUACACCGCAUAAUCGAUACACGUAGUCGAAAUUUCAAUAUGAAUAUUUUUGUUUUUGACAUGUUUUAACAAUUGGCACUGUUGUAAUUUAGGCGACACAAUCUGUCUAGACGGCAAUUGUAGUGUUUGUAGGAAGUGAUAAAUUUCCAAACAGAAAUAAACAUCUCGGUUGUUUGAAAUAAAUUGGUACUGAAAAAUGAGUUGUUGUCAGAAGAUUGUUUUGAGUAUUUGUCACGGAGAAGAACGUGAUCUUAGCGCGUUUCCCGGCCAAACCACUGAGAUUAUAUACCAUUGAAAUUAUCGCUGACAUUUUAAUUGCCAAGUAAAACUGGGUUUGUAAUUCCAAAACAACUGUUUUCGCUGACAAAGGAGACAAACAGGCGGAACUUUCGAAAAAGAUUGCCGGAAAGCAGAAAUUUGUAUGGUUAUAACUAAACAAAUGACAGCAGCUAGAAAAAUGUGAAAAAGCAUAACAAAACCAAGCACACUAUAAGCCCACACAGCCUGGAACAGUACAUUUUUCAAACUAGUACAGUUUAAACCUGUACAGUCCAAACCAAGCACAUUAACACACUUGACAUCCCAAAUACCUUCGUUGCCACCUAUGGACCCGAUUGACGUAUACAUGAAACACUGGUGCCCGGAAGGAAGAACGUAUGCGGUAAGAAAGCCCGCACCUGGUAAAGGUGUUUUGACAUAUCUGUCUGUCACUCCACAACCACACAGAUGGGUUAACGGAAAAUGAAAACACCAAAGCUCUUUUCGAAAUUACAUUUAUAUCAAAACAAUAUAUAUAUAUAUAUAUUAUUUUAUUAUUUUAUUGAAAGCCGUUCAGUCGAAAAAUAUAUAGGAGCACAAUAAAUGUACAGUUUGAAUAACUAAGUGUAUAGUUGCUUUACUAACCAUUUAGUUGGCCAAAAUGUUUAUGUGGUUAUUUUAACUAUACAUUCAUUUUACCCAUGUAUCGACCAUAAUUUUAGUUGACCCGAUUGCAAGCUGAAUGUGUCAAUCCCUCAGGGUUAGCUAAUAAGAAACUACCAAUUCCU